UUAAAUUGUAGUCAAAUCUCAGAUGUUCGAGACUGAAGUUCAGUUAAUUUUGCUUUUUUACACCUCUCUCGCUGCGGUGAAGACAAGGGAAAAUUCCCUCUGAUUCUCGAACAAAGACUGUUCACGAGUUGCGUUCGACAAUUUCGAGUGAAAUUUGCAAUGAUGAAGAGCAAAAUGAAGAUCAUGGCCAUGGGGUUGUAUUUUUAUUAGGAGUAGAAAUUCAGACCCUGC
rnacentral:lncRNA from 1 species